GUAUAUUAAAGAUUGUUUCAGUUAAAAAGCUCGUAGCUUGGAUUUCUGACAGGAGCGACCGGUCUCGAAUCCUUCGUGGUUCGUGUUUACUUGUGUGGUCCGUCUCUAGUCAUCCUUACGGAGAACGUGUGUGUCAUUAACUUGGCGUGCAUGGGAACCGUAUCGUUUACUGUGAAAAAAUUAUAGUGUUUAAAGCAGGCAAUCGCUGUGAAUACAUUACCAUGGAAUACUAAGCAUAGGGCAUUGGUACUAUUUUGUUGGUUUGUAUACCAAGGUAAUGAUUAAGAGGGACAGUUGGGGGUAUUCGUAUUUAAUUGUCAGAGGUGAAAUUCUUGGAUUUAUGAAAGACGAACUACUGCGAAAGCAUUUACCAAGGAUGUUUUCAUUAAUCAAGAACGAAAGUUAGGGGAUCGAAGAUGAUUAGAUACCAUCGUAGUCUUAACCAUAAACUAUGCCGACUAGGGAUUGGUGGACGUUAUUUGAACGACUUCAUCAGCACCUUAUGAGAAAUCAAAGUCUUUGGGUUCCGGGGGGAGUAUGGUCGCAAGGCUGAAACUUAAAGGAAUUGACGGAAGGGCACCACCAGGAGUGGAGCCUGCCGGCUUAAUUGACUUCCACCCCGGGGAA
rnacentral:rRNA from 1 species